rnacentral:rRNA from 1 species
GACGAACGCUGGCGGCGUGCCUAAUACAUGCAAGUCGAACGGAAAGGCCCUGCUCUUGUGGGGCGCUCGAGUGGCGAACGGGUGAGUAACACGUGAGUAACCUGCCCUUGUCUUUGGGAUAACUUCAGGAAACUGGGGCUAAUACCGGAUAGGAGCUCCUGCUGCACGGUGGGGGUUGGAAAGUGUCGGCGGUGGUGGAUGGACUCGCGGCUUAUCCGCUUGUUGGUGAGGUAGUGGCUUACCAAGGCUUUGACGGGUAGCCGGCCUGGGAGGGUGACCGGCCACCUUAGGACUAAGGUACGGAGCAGACUCCUACGGGAGGCAGCAGUCGGGAAUAUUACGCAGUGGGCGGAAGCGUGAUACAGCGACGCCGCGUGCGGAAUGACGGCCUUCGGGUUGUAAACCGCUUUCGCCUGUGACGAGGCGUGAGUGACGGUAAUGGGUAAGAAAGCACCGGCUAACUACGUG